GAGAGUUGGCUUGACAUGUCUAGAAACAAAGGCUAAAUUGUGGAAACAUAUAAGGCCAGUAUGUGAGUUUAGUGGGCUUAGAGUGAAACCUUUAGGUGAUGGAAUAUUGGAUCAAUUAUUGGUGGACCAAAAGAAACAAUUGUAAGGAAAGAAAUUGGGCUCGAUAGUACAAACAUUCGGUUGUUUUGGUCGUGGAACAAGAUGGGUGAUUUGCAUGGCCAACCUAUAGCAUGCAAAAGUUAGUGGUAACAAUGGUUUAGCUUUGAGUAACCAUAAUAAAAGAGUUAUGGGAUAUCCUUUCUGAAUGGGGUAAGAAAUUAUCCCAACGGUUGGAUAUAGAGCUUGACGGGAAAACGAUGGGGG
rnacentral:lncRNA from 1 species